UCCAAAUGGGUGUGAUGCGAACA
rnacentral:siRNA from 1 species